GUGGGGAAUAUUGCACAAUGGGCGCAAGCCUGAUGCAGCGACGCCGCGUGGGGGAUGACGGCCUUCGGGUUGUAAACCUCUUUCGACAGGGACGAAGCUUUUUGUGACGGUACCUGUAUAAGAAGCACCGGCUAACUACGUGCCAGCAGCCGCGGUAAUACGUAGGGUGCGAGCGUUGUCCGGAAUUACUGGGCGUAAAGAGCUCGUAGGUGGUUUGUCGCGUCGUCUGUGAAAUUCCGGGGCUUAACUCCGGGCGUGCAGGCGAUACGGGCAAUACUUGAGUGCUGUAGGGGAGACUGGAAUUCCUGGUGUAGCGGUGAAAUGCGCAGAUAUCAGGAGGAACACCAAUGGCGAAGGCAGGUCUCUGGGCAGUAACUGACGCUGAGGAGCGAAAGCAUGGGUAGCGAACAGG
rnacentral:rRNA from 1 species